rnacentral:rRNA from 1 species
UACGAAGGGGGCUAGCGGUGUUCGGAAUCAAUGGGCGUAAAGAGCACGCAGGCGGAUCGAUAAGUCGGGGGUGAAAGCCCGGGGCUCAACCUCGGAAUUGCCUUCGAUACUGUCGGUCUCGAGUCCGGGAGAGGUGAGUGGAAUUCCUAGUGUAGAGGUGAAAUUCGUAGAUAUUAGGAAGAACACCAGUGGCGAAGGCGGCUCACUGGCCCGGUACUGACGCUCAGGUGCGAAAGCGUGGGGAGCAAACAGG